AACGUAGGGAGCAAGCGUUGUCCGGAAUCAUUGGGCGUAAAGCGCGCGUAGGUGGCCUCGUAAGUCCGCUGUGAAAGUCAAAGGCUCAACCUUUGAAAGCCGGUGGAUACUGUGAGGCUAGAGUACGGAAGAGGCGAGUGGAAUUCCUGGUGUAGCGGUGGAAUGCGCAGAUAUCAGGAGGAACACCAAUAGCGAAGGCGGCUCUCUGGGACGGUACUGACGCUGAGACGCGAAAGCGUGGGGAGCGAACAGG
rnacentral:rRNA from 1 species